UACGAAGGAUUCGAGCGUUAUCCGGAUUUAUUGGGUUUAAAGGGUGCGUAGGUGGACUAAUAAGUCAGUGGUGAAAGCCCGCAGCUUAACUGCGGAACUGCCAUUGAUACUGUUAGUCUUGAGUACAGUUGAGGUGGGCGGAAUGUGUCAUGUAGCGGUGAAAUGCUUAGAUAUGACACAGAACACCGAUUGCGAAGGCAGCUCACUGGAACGUAACUGACGCUGAGACGCGAAAGCGUGGGGAGCAAACAGG
rnacentral:rRNA from 1 species